rnacentral:rRNA from 1 species
CCCUUAGAUGUCCGGGGCCGCACGCGCGCUACACUGAAGGAAUCAGCGUGGCUUUCUCCCUGACCCGAAAGGGUUGGGAAACCCGUUGAAUCUCCUUCGUGAUAGGGAUUGGGGCUUGAAAUUGUUCCCCAUGAACGAGGAAUUCCCAGUAAGCGCGAGUCAUAAGCUCGCGUUGAUUACGUCCCUGCCCUUUGUACACACCGCCCGUCGCUACUACCGAUUGAACGGUUUAGUGAGGGCCUCGGAUUGGUCUCGGCCCGCUCUUUACCGGGCGGCGCCGUUGGUCGAGACGACGCUCGAACUUGAUCGUUUAGAGGAAGUAAAAGUCGUAACA